UACAGAGGGUGCAAGCGUUGUCCGGAAUCACUGGGCGUAAAGCGCGCGCAGGCGGUCAUCUACGUCUGGGGUGAAAGCCCGGAGCUCAACUCCGGGAUUGCCUUGGAUACGGGAUGACUUGAGGAUCGGAGAGGCAAGGGGAAUUCCACGUGUAGCGGUGAAAUGCGUAGAGAUGUGGAGGAACACCUGUGGCGAAGGCGCCUUGCUGGCCGAUUUCUGACGCUGAGGCGCGAAAGCGUGGGGAGCAAACAGG
rnacentral:rRNA from 1 species